rnacentral:rRNA from 1 species
GAGGAAUGUAUAGCAAUAGCUACUUGUAUCAUAGUAGAAAUGAUGCAAGCUCGACUAUGUUGAAUAAAAUUCUAGGUAGAAUUAUGAUAAUGACAUUGUCUGCCUAUGUGUCUUGACCAAAUUACGUGCCAGCAGUCGCGGUAAUACGUAGAAGACUAGUGUUAUUCAUGUUUAAUCGGUUUAAAGGGUACCUAGACGGUGGAUCAAGCUUUUCUAAAUCAGAAAAAGGACUAAUUCGCUAGAGUUACUUACGAGGGGGCAUUAAAGUACUGCUGGUGUAGAGAUGAAAUUCUGUCAUACCUCUUUUCGAAAGAAAAAUGAUGGCACAGGUAUAGGCGAAGGCAUCCCCUUAUGUGAUAACUGACGUUGAGGGACGAAGGCUUCGUGUAACAAACAGGAUUAGAUACCCUAGUAGUUGAAGCAGAAAAUGAUGAAUGUCAUAGAUUAGAUGUUUAAGUUUAUUCUAUAAAUGAAAGUGUAAGCAUUCCACCUCAUGAGUAAUUUGGCAACAUUGGAAUUGAAAUCAUUAGACCGUUUCUGAAACCAGUAGUGAAGUAUGUUGUUUAAUUUGAUAAUCCGCAAAAAACCUUACCACAAUUUGAAUAUUUAUAUUAUUUAUUGUUAUCUUAUUAAUUUUUUUGCUCAUUUGUUUACUUCCAGCCGCUAAUAGAAAUACCGGAUGAAAAAAAAAAUUAAUCAAGAGGCAAUAACAUAUAUCUACAAGCGUUGCACGGCUGUCUUCAGUUAAUGUCGUGAGACUUUGGUUAGUUCCAUUAAAUUAACGUAAACCCUUACUUUAUUUUUUAUAUAGAGUUGUUCCCCGCUAUAUUGGAUAUGAU